CGAGCGGGUCGCCCAGGCGUUGCGCGAGGGCGGCUUCGGACGCCGCCGCGUCGUGGUGCGAAUCAACGCGCUGGCC
rnacentral:tRNA from 1 species